rnacentral:lncRNA from 1 species
UCUUAUCUGCAAUUUUAUAUCUCGUCUCUACAGUGACUUCUGGUGCUUGAAAAGAUUCAAGUAUGGUAUAAAUCUCUCUUGAAUGAAUCUCAACAAUCUUACCAUUAUCUCCUAACCCAAUAGAUGUAAUCAAUUCCAAUGAAUCUUCCAGUCCAUUUUCUUCAUAAACACCUAAAAUCCUCUCAUCAUCUUGCAAUGUACCUAACUUGCGUAAUUGUCCUUCAAUAUCAUAUAAUCUUUUUCUUUCUUUUCUUUUAAAAUCAUCAAAUUUCUUAUACAUAAUAUUUCCAUUCU